rnacentral:rRNA from 1 species
UACCAUGCAGUCGAACGGCAGCAGUAGAAAGCUUGCUUUCUUGGAGGCGAGUGGCCCACUGGUGAGUAACGCGUGGGAAUCUGCCCUGAAAUGGGGGACAACCCUAGGAAACUCGGGCUAAUACCGCGUAAGCUCUACGGAGUAAAGUUUGCUUCGGCUGACGCUUCAGGAUGAGCCCGCGUCCGAUUAGCUUGGUGGUAGGGUAAUGGCCUACCAAGGCGACCAUCGGUAGCUGGUCUGAAAGGAUGAUCAGCCACACUGGGACUGAAACACGGCCCAAACUCCUACGGGAGGCAGCAGUGGGGAAUAUUGGAACAUGGGGGCAACCCUGAUCCCAGCAUGCCGCGUGUGUGAAGAAGGCCUGCGGGUUGUAAAGCACUUUUUUUUGGGGAAAAGGAUGCUCGCUUAAAAGCUAGGUCACUUUACGGUACCUUAUGAAAUAGCACCGGGCUACUCCGUGCCAGCAGCUGCCGUAAUACCGAGGGUGCAAGCGUUUAUCGGAAUUACUGGGCGUAAAAAGUACGUAGGCCGUUUUUUAAAUCUGAUGUGAAAACCCCGGGCUUCACCUGGGAAAUUGCUUCGGUACCGGGAGAACUUGAAUUUGGCAAAAGCUUGCGGAAUUCCCCGGGGUAACGGUGAAAUGCGUAAAUAUCGGGAGGAACAUCUAUGGCCAAAGCGGCCCGCUUGGUCAAAAAUGACCCUUAAGGACAAAAACGUGGGGAACCAAAAGGAAUAAAUACCCCGGGAAUCCCCCGCCCUAAA